AGUCAAAUGAAUUAAGGGCUUACGGUGGAUACCUAGGCACCCAGAGACGAAGAAGGGCGUACUAACCGACGAAACGCUUCGGGGAGCUGAAAAGAAGCAUUGAUCCGGAGAUUCCCGAAUAGGGCAACCUCUUGAACUUCCUGCUGAAUUCAUAGGCAGGAUAGAGACAACCUGGCGAACUGAAACAUCUUAGUAGCCAGAGGAAA
rnacentral:rRNA from 1 species